GGAAGAGAACAGCACACUGGCUCCCUGCCCAGCCACCAGCAGCAUUCACCUUCUCUGCCUCUCCAGCUCUGUAGCUGUAAACCUGCUCAGAACUGGCAAUGAGCUCUUCUGACACGGUGCCCUGCUGUGAAUGGCCACCCCUGAGCUCCCCUGAAGGGCCAAACCAGAGGUGGGCAACUGGUUCCUGAUCAGCCUGGGUCGCUCUGCCCACUGCUGUGUUAGGAUGCAGUUGGGAAAUGGAGAACAAAGAGAGCAGCAAGAUCCUUCUUGACACAGUCCCCUGUCGUGCUUCAAGUGGACACUUCCAAGAAGAUAGGAGGUAAGGAAAUCCUGUACAUAAAAAAUCGGGAGGUAGCUGGUUGCCCAGGAUGGAGAGAUAAAAGAGAUUUUAUAUUUUUCAAGGUUUGUACUCCUUGUAAGCUAAAAACAAAUCUACCAGGAGUAGAUACAGAAUUCCUGCAGCAGUUUCACCAGCACUCAACAGAGAUAAUGUGCCUUUCUAAUUUCUGCCUGAUUUGGAGUUCUGAUGUAUCUAGAAUGAGGAAACACCUGUGCACUGCAUUGCAGAGCCAUAUGGCUCAGGCACCAUAACCAAACCCAGCUCAGGUGUCUGUACAUAGCUGUGUGACCUUUAAGUUAAUCUUGUCAUCCAGGGCUUUACUGUGGGAGUUCAUUGUAUGGAUAAUUGUCCCUGAUGUCAUUUUCAGAGUUAAUGUAUUGCCCAUCUCCAGACAAAGCACAGAAGCUUCACGGGUGACCCAGCUCAGCCAGAGCACAAAAGUUAAGAGGUGAAGAUGAGCAGGAAAAUAAUGAGAGCUUUUCCUUUUUCAUUUCAUUGUUCAGAUCCAGUUUUGACAACUAACAGCAGAGCAGUGUCUCACAAACUCUUGUCACAGGGGACAUCCCAGGAAAGAUCAAAGAGCUGCAUCUAUUCAGAAAUAUUGUUCUUGUCUACACUGAGUGUUCCUUAAAGUUUUGUCGAAAGGAUUUUAGAAAGGCUCUCCAUCUGACAGCUGGUGUCUUUUCUUGACCUCUUCCUUCUCUUAAACUGACCAAAUAAGGAGUUUGCUUGGGAU